GUCUACGGCCACGCCCGAUGGCUGAUCGCAGAAGCUAAGCAGGGUCAGGCCUGGUUAGUACUUGGAUGGGAGACCACCUAGGAAGACCAGGUGCUGUAGGCA
rnacentral:rRNA from 1 species